rnacentral:rRNA from 1 species
UACGUAGGUGGCAAGCGUUGUCCGGAUUUACUGGGCGUAAAGAGCGCGCAGGCGGUCGUUCAAGUCGCGUGUGAAAGCCCCCGGCUCAACUGGGGAGGGUCACGCGAUACUGAUCGACUCGAAGGCAGGAGAGGGUAGUGGAAUUCCUGGUGUAGCGGUGAAAUGCGUAGAUAUCAGGAGGAACACCGGUGGCGAAGGCGGCCCUCUGGACGGUGACUGACGCUGAGACGCGGAAGCGUGGGGAGCAAACAGG